CAAGUGAUCAUUCCAUUAGAAAAAAAAAUACUUUUUUCGAAGUAUAUAUGAAAUUUUGAUAAGUGUUUUUUAAGACAUAAUAAGAGUUGAUCUGCUUUGUAAAAUCAAUUAAAAUUUUAACAAUCCGUGUUCAUAAUUAAGUGCGUGAUACGCCAAAUUUCUACGGAGGUGUGGUUUUAAUGAAAAUAAAAGACAACUCGUACAUCGUGAUCUAUCACAUACUAACACAAACUUCUUUAUCACCCAAUUCUCAAAAUUCCAAAACUGAGAUCGAUUUUACAUUCCUCGUUUGCGGCGAAAUAUCAUAAGCCGUGAAUGAGGAUUUCCGUUUUUGUUGCUGGACAAAUUAUAUUUUAUUACAAAACCAUACCAAAAUUCACUUCCGUUGGCUAAAAAUACUUUUGAAGAAAAAGGUUAUGUUGGUUUACUACCUACAUUGCGGAUUGGGAGAAACCAACUAUACAUAAUUUUGCCUUCAAAGACAAAUACAAUUAAAGUAUAAUACGAGUGUACCUAAUCAAAUCCACUACGGUGUAACAUAAACACAUGUUGAAAUCCAGAACUUGUGGCGUUUCUACAACAAAGCCCAUCACCAAUACUUGUACGUGCUAGCUAAUAACCAAUCAUUGGACAGCAGGAAAGCUUAUGGGUAACAUCCACUAGUAAAACCUGCGCUGAAGCCAUCCUUGCCAACACAGCUCAGUAGCCCAGUCGGCUAAGGGGCACAUCUAGUGAGCAGCAAUCAUAGCAACGUGGGUUCAAAUCCCGCCACUGACACAAAAUACUUUAUUUCUAAAAAUUUAAAUUACCACGAGUUUCAUAAGUAUCAAACACAGAAAAAUUGAGUUCCUUCAAA